rnacentral:rRNA from 1 species
GUAGUUUGAUCAGUGGCUCAGGACACGCUGGCGGUGUGCUUAACACAUGCAAGUGGUGCGACGAACCAGAGCUUGCUCUGGGGCAAAGCCGCGAACGGGUGAGUAACACGUGGGUAAUCUACCCUGAUGACCGGGACAACCCGAGGAAACUCGGGCUAAUACCGGAUGUGGUACGGAGACAUAAGUCUCUUUACUAAAGGUAGCUUCGGCUUCCGCAUUGGGAGGGGCCCGCGGCCCAUUAGCUAGUUGGUGGGGUCAAGGCCUACCAAGGCAACGAUGGGUAGCUGGUCUGAGAGGACGAUCAGCCACACUGGGACUGAGACACGGCCCAGACUCCUACGGGAGGCAGCAGUGGGGAAUCUUGCGCAAUGCGCGAAAGCGUGACGCAGCAACACCGCGUGAGGGAAGACGGCCUUAGGGUUGUAAACCUCUUUCAGAUGGGACGAAGGUGAUGCGGUGAAUAGCCGAUGUCAUUGACGGUACCGUCAGAAGAAGCUCCGGCUAACUACGUG